rnacentral:tRNA from 1 species
GGUGGCUCAAUGGUAAAGUGCUUGCCUUGCAUGCAUGAGGCCCUGGGUUCAAUUCCUCAGCACCA